UGUUCAAGAAACGAGGUGCGAUUUUGUGAAUAGCCCCGGGUGGUCAGGUCGUCGCCGGAGAGACAAAUUCCGAGAGGGACAAACAUAGAGAGAAGAGAGAAAGCGAGUCAACCUUCCUUUAACUAAAGGAAGUCUCGGGGGCCGCCCAUUCGGUCAGCGCAAGAGGUCUUUCCCUUCGGGAUCAUCUCACACACUAGGUCAA
ensembl:ncRNA F57B10.16 ncRNA